rnacentral:rRNA from 1 species
AGCGAACGCUGGCGGCAGGCUUAACACAUGCAAGUCGAACGGGCAUCUUCGGAUGUCAGUGGCAGACGGGUGCGUAACACGUGGGAACGUACCCUUCGGUUCGGAAUAACUCAGGGAAACUUGAGCUAAUACCGGAUACGCCCUUUUGGGGAAAGGUUUACUGCCGAAGGAUCGGCCCGCGUCUGAUUAGCUUGUUGGUGGGGUAACGGCCUACCAAGGCGACGAUCAGUAGCUGGUCUGAGAGGAUGAUCAGCCACACUGGGACUGAGACACGGCCCAGACUCCUACGGGAGGCAGCAGUGGGGAAUAUUGGACAAUGGGCGCAAGCCUGAUCCAGCCAGGCCGCGGGAGUGAUGAAGGCGUUAGGGUUGUAAAGCUCUUUUGUCCGGGACGAUAAUGACGGUACCGGAAGAAUAAGCCCCGGCGAACUUCGU